CAAUUUAGAGUGCCCGACCCUCAAAAAAACUGAAAAAAAAAAAGUUUGCCGUUGCUGACCCAUUGUAUGCUGCAAUACCACUAUUGACCACGCAAUGGCAGACAUCGCUCACCAGCGCCUCCAACCCCGAGACUGAGAUUGCGAAGAAGAAUGUGUCGUGGCCACCACAAAAUCGAGAUAAAAACUCCACAAACAAUUAUUUUCUUCUUCACUGCGAUUACAGAUUUUUUGAAAUGCAUGAGGAUUGAAUAAAUGUGUCCUCUAAAUAGCUGCAUUCAACGCGUCAUCGUGUUUCAGACGCGUAUGGUGGCUUAAUUGGUCAAACGGCUGUUGUGCUGCCUUCAGGACCAACUUGACUGUUCACACAGAUAGGGAGCAGGAAACCAGGCAAUGCACUUGUCCUCAUUCUCCACCAACCACCAACCUGAUGGGGAGUAAACAGAUCGUGAGAAAGGUAGGAUCUGAUGCCUUAUCUCCACCAAUGAUUGAGAGAUACUACCCCA